rnacentral:rRNA from 1 species
CCCUUAGAUGUUCUGGGCCGCACGCGCGCUACACUGAUGCAUUCAACGAGUCUAAAACCUGCUCUGAUAGGGGUGGGUAAUCUUUUGAAUGUGCAUCGUGAUUGGGAUAGAUGAUUGCAAUUUUUCAUCUUCAACGAGGAAUGCCUAGUAAACGCAAGUCAUCAGCUUGCAUUGAUUACGUCCCUGCCCUUUGUACACACCGCCCGUUGCUCCUACCGAUUGAAUGAUCCGAUGAAUAUCAUGGAUUGAGGAUGCAAGUAGGUUCGCCUAUCUUCAUCUUCGAGAAGUGAAGUAAAUCUUAUCAUUUAGAGGAAGGAGAAGUCGUAACA